GUGCUCACUUCAGCAGCACACAUACUAAAAUUGGGAUGAUACAAAGAUUAGUAUGGCCCCUGCACAAAGACUACAUGCAAAAAAAAAAAAAAAAGAAGAAGAAG